UACAGAGGUCCCAAGCGUUGUUCGGAUUCAUUGGGCGUAAAGGGUGCGUAGGCGGCGCGGUAAGUCGGGUGUGAAAUCUCGGGGCUUAACUCCGAAACUGCAUUCGAUACUGCCGUGCUUGAGGACUGGAGAGGAGACUGGAAUUUACGGUGUAGCGGUGAAAUGCGUAGAUAUCGGAAGGAACGCCGGUGGCGAAAGCGGCCCGCUGGACCUUCCCUGACGCUGAGGCGCGAAAGCCAGGGGAGCGAACGGG
rnacentral:rRNA from 1 species